rnacentral:rRNA from 1 species
UACGUAGGGGGCUAGCGUUGUCCGGAAUCAUUGGGCGUAAAGCGCGCGUAGGCGGCCCGGUAAGUCCGCUGUGAAAGUCAAAGGCUCAACCUUUGAAUGUCAGCGGAUACUGCCGGGCUAGAGUCCGGAAGAGGCGAGUGGAAUUCCUGGUGUAGCGGUGAAAUGCGCAGAUAUCAGGAGGAACACCGAUGGCGAAGGCAGCUCGCUGGGACGGUACUGACGCUGAGGCGCGAAAGCGUGGGGAGCAAACAGG